rnacentral:rRNA from 1 species
ACGCUGGCGGCAGGCCUAACACAUGCAAGUCGAGCGGUAGAGAGAAGCUUGCUUCUCUUGAGAGCGGCGGACGGGUGAGUAAUGCCUAGGAAUCUGCCUGGUAGUGGGGGAUAACGUUCGGAAACGGACGCUAAUACCGCAUACGUCCUACGGGAGAAAGCAGGGGACCUUCGGGCCUUGCGCUAUCAGAUGAGCCUAGGUCGGAUUAGCUAGUUGGUGAGGUAAUGGCUCACCAAGGCGACGAUCCGUAACUGGUCUGAGAGGAUGAUCAGUCACACUGGAACUGAGACACGGUCCAGACUCCUACGGGAGGCAGCAGUGGGGAAUAUUGGACAAUGGGCGAAAGCCUGAUCCAGCCAUGCCGCGUGUGUGAAGAAGGUCUUCGGAUUGUAAAGCACUUUAAGUUGGGAGGAAGGGCAGUUACCUAAUACGUGAUUGUUUUGACGUUACCGACAGAAUAAGCACCGGCUAACUCUGUGCCAGCAGCCGCGGUAAUACAGAGGGUGCAAGCGUUAAUCGGAAUUACUGGGCGUAAAGCGCGCGUAGGUGGUUUGUUAAGUUGGAUGUGAAAUCCCCGGGCUCAACCUGGGAACUGCAUUCAAAACUGACUGACUAGAGUAUGGUAGAGGGUGGUGGAAUUUCCUGUGUAGCGGUGAAAUGCGUAGAUAUAGGAAGGAACACCAGUGGCGAAGGCGACCACCUGGACUGAUACUGACACUGAGGUGCGAAAGCGUGGGGAGCAAACAGGAUUA